UUGGAAACCAAAUCCCGAGGUUAGAGCCUGGGCAUCGGUAUUUUUUUUUAAACAUACAGGCGAUUCUGAUGCACACUGAGUGUUGAGGGCCACCCUGUGGGAUGCAGAAGUACCUCUCUCUCCCCUGUCAUGUGUCCUCUGGUAAAGGGGUCACAAAAACUGUACUGCAUGUGUCUCUGGCUUAAAGAGGUUCUCUGGAGCCUUGAAGAAAAUACAGAGUGGAAGAAAUAGCUACAUGAAAUUUUUAUUAUGUUCAAAUUUGUAGUGAUAGUAUACGGUUGGCCCUCUGUAUACAUGGGUUUCUUGUGCAUGAAUUCAACCAACUUCAGAUAAAAAAUAUUUGGAAAAAAAUACAAUAAAAAGUAAUAUACAUUUUAAAAAAUACAAUAUUAAAACUGUUUCCAUAGCAUUUACAUUGUAUUAGUUAUUUUAAGUAAUCUAGAGAUGAUUUAAAGUGCACAGGAUAUGCCUGGGUUAUUUGAAAAUACUAUGCCAUUUUAUAUAAGGGACUUGAGCAUUCAUGGAUUUUGGUAUCUGCAGGGGUCCUGGAACCAGUCCCUCACAAACACCAAAGAAUGACUCUAUACUCCAGUUUUUGCAAGUCCUGGAAUUCAUCAGAACUGGAAGGAAACAGUUCAACAGUUCCCAGAGAAUUUCUGGCCUACCCAUAUUCAGGAAGUUAUGUGAGUCUCAUGAGGAAUCCUGUUCUUGUAACAGUUAUGGUCCACUUUGUAAACUCUGAAGAGUUGAACUAGGGUCAGCAGCAACUCCUACUUAUUUGUUGCCCAGUAAGUGCCAGACACAGUGUUAAGCACUUUACACAUAUCAUGUUAUCAGUGUCUUCUUACAAUCCUAUUAAAUAGAUACUAUUAUCCCUAUUUUAUAAUGAGAACCCUACAGCUCAAUUAACUUACCUCAAG
rnacentral:lncRNA from 1 species